rnacentral:rRNA from 1 species
CGACGGGGCCCCGCACAAGCAGCGGAGCGUGUGGUUAAUUCGAUGUUACACGAAGAACCUUACCAGGGUUUGACAUGCAAGUGGUAGGAAGCCGAAAGGUGACCGACCCUUCGGGGAGCUUGCACAGGUGCUGCAUGGCUGUCGUCAGCUCGUGUCGUGAGAUGUUCGGUUAAGUCCGCUAACGAGCGCAACCCUCGCUGUGUGUUAUAUGUGUCACACGGGACUGCCGGUCUUAAGCCGGAGGAAGGUGGGGAUGAUGUCAAGUCAGCAUGGCCUUUAUAUCCUGGGCUACACACACGCUACAAUGGCCAACACAAUAGGUUGCUAAGCCGCGAGGUGGCGCCAAUCCAUAAAGUUGGUCUCAGUUCAGAUUGUAGGCUGCAACCCGCCUGCAUGAAGAUGGAGUUGCUAGUAACCGCAGGUCAGCUAUACUGCGGUGAAUACGUUCCCGGGGCUU